rnacentral:rRNA from 1 species
UGGGGAAUAUUGCACAAUGGGCGCAAGCCUGAUGCAGCCAUGCCGCGUGUAUGAAGAAGGCCUUCGGGUUGUAAAGUACUUUCAGUCGGGAGGAAGGUGUCAAGGUUAAUAACCUUGGCAAUUGACGUUACCGACAGAAGAAGCACCGGCUAACUCCGUGCCAGCAGCCGCGGUAAUACGGAGGGUGCAAGCGUUAAUCGGAAUUACUGGGCGUAAAGCGCACGCAGGCGGUUGAUUGAGUCAGAUGUGAAAUCCCCGGGCUUAACCCGGGAAUUGCAUCUGAUACUGGUCAGCUAGAGUCUUGUAGAGGGGGGUAGAAUUCCAUGUGUAGCGGUGAAAUGCGUAGAGAUGUGGAGGAAUACCGGCGGCGAAGGCGGCCCCCUGGACAAAGACUGACGCUCAGGUGCGAAAGCGUGGGGAGCAAACAGG